rnacentral:rRNA from 1 species
CCAAUAGCGUAUAUUAAAGUUGUUGCAGUUAAAAAGCUCGUAGUUGGAUUUCUGGUAGGAGUGACCGUUCCGAACUUGAUUGUUCGUGUAUUGUGUUUUCUCCAGCCAUCCUUGUGGAGAACUUUUCUUGCAUUAAUUUGUAGGGAUUGGGACCCGCAUCGUUUACUGUGAAAAAAUUAGAGUGUUUAAAGCAGGCAAUCGCUUGAAUACAUUAGCAUGGAAUAAUAAGAUAGGACUUUGGUACUAUUUUGUUGGUUUGCAUACCAAAUUAAUGAUCAACAGGAACAGUUUGAGGAUAUUCGUAUGAACAUGUCAGAGGUGAAAUUCUUGGAUUUUGAUCAGACGAACUACUGCGAAAGCAUUUAUCAAGGAUGUUUUCAUUAA